CCUACGGGUGGCUGCAGUAAGGAAUAUUGGUCAAUGGAGGAAACUCUGAACCAGCCAUCCCGCGUGAAGGAUGAAGGGGCUCUGCCUUGUAAACUUCUUUUAUCUGGGGCGAAAAAGCUCGAUUUAUCGAGAACUGACGGUACCAGAAGAAUAAGCACCGGCUAACUCCGUGCCAGCAGCCGCGGUAAUACGGCGGGUGCAAGAGUUAUCCGGAAUCACUGGGGUGAAGGGGGGCGAGUGAGGCUGAGUAGAAAGGGUGUGGCUUAACCAUGGAAUUGCCAUUGAUACUGCAGAGCUUGAAUGAGGUUGAGGUUGGCGGAAUGUGACAUGUAGCGGUGAAAUGCUUAGAUAUGUCAUGGAACACCGAUUGCGAAGGCAGCUGACUGGACCUAUAUUGACGCUGAGGCACGAAAGCGUGGGGAGCGAACAGGAUUAGAUACCCGGGUAGUC
rnacentral:rRNA from 1 species